AUGAACGCUGGCGGCGUGCCUAAUACAUGCAAGUCGAGCGAACAGACGAGGAGCUUGCUCCUCUGACGUUAGCGGCGGACGGGUGAGUAACACGUGGAUAACCUACCUAUAAGACUGGGAUAACUUCGGGAAACCGGAGCUAAUACCGGAUAACAUGUUGAACCGCAUGGUUUAACAGUGAAAGACGGUCUUGCUGUCACUUAUAGAUGGAUCCGCGCCGCAUUAGCUAGUUGGUAAGGUAACGGCUUACCAAGGCAACGAUGCGUAGCCGACCUGAGAGGGUGAUCGGCCACACUGGAACUGAGACACGGUCCAGACUCCUACGGGAGGCAGCAGUAGGGAAUCUUCCGCAACGGGCGAAAGCCUGACGGAGCAACGCCGCGUGAGUGAAGAAGGUCUUCGGAUCGUAAAACUCUGUUAUUAGGGAAGAACAAAUGUGUAAGUAACUAUGCACGUCUUGACGGUACCUAAUCAGAAAGCCACGGCUAACUACGUG
rnacentral:rRNA from 1 species